rnacentral:rRNA from 1 species
GAUGAACGCUGGCGGCGUGCCUAAUACAUGCAAGUCGAGCGAACGGACGAGAAGCUUGCUUCUCUGAUGUUAGCGGCGGACGGGUGAGUAACACGUGGAUAACCUACCUAUAAGACUGGGAUAACUUCGGGAAACCGGAGCUAAUACCGGAUAAUAUUUUGAACCGCAUGAUUCAAAAGUGAAAGACGGUCUUGCUGUCACUUAUAGAUGGAUCCGCGCUGCAUUAGCUAGUUGGUAAGGUAACGGCUUACCAAGGCAACGAUGCAUAGCCGACCUGAGAGGGUGAUCGGCCACACUGGAACUGGGACACGGUCCAGACUCCUACGGGAGGCAGAAGUAGGGAAUCUUCCGCAAGGGGCGAAAGCCUGACGGAGCAACGCCGGGUGAGUGAUGAAGGUCUUCGGAUCGUAAAACUCUGUUAUUAGGGAAGAACAUAUGUGGAAGUAACUGUGCACAUUUUGACGGUACCUAAUCAGAAAGCCACGGCUAACUACGU